rnacentral:lncRNA from 1 species
AUCCAGAGCUUUGAUGAGGGCAGUAUUUCUGGGAGCUACAUGGGAGCAUCCGACACCACAGCAGUGUGUGUGAUGAGGACUAACAGCUGCCAGUCUGACAGCAGUGGUUUCCUGGAAGAACCCUUCAUCCCGUCCAUUACCCAGCAUCCCUCACCUGGACCCGAGCUCAUGAAGGUUACACGGAGAACAUUCUAGAAGUGCAACAAUCUAGGCGUGUUACUUUUAGUUAGUUCUACUGACUUACUUAAACUUACUUUAAGUUAUUGCUACUAACUUAUAUACUUCACCAGCCCAAAAUAUUAAAAUAUAUUAUUGAAUUGAUAUUCUGUCUAUUUCAUGGUGCACAAUUUAAGAGGUCAUUCAUUAAUUUAAACUGACAGUGUUUGGUUGUUGUUUAAGGCUUUGUCGGGAAUAUCUGGAGGCAGCACUGACAGCCAGAUCACUGUAAAAGGAGCUUCACCCCCCUCGUCCCCCCCAUCCACUUCCCUGGACCCUUCCCCUCCUUCCCUCUCCACGUGCCACCCAAGACCCGAGUCUCCUCUAUACAGACCAGAGACAACAAGCCCUACAGAGGAGACACCCAGACACCAGGAUUCCCCCACACCCCACUCCCUCCUCUCUGAUGCCUUGGAGAUGACUAACUCUGCGUUUGGAGCCAGGCCAAGCCUAAUGGAAAACACUGUCACUGAGGAAGAUGGAUUCUCUUCGGCCUGCUGUGCACCUUGUCAUAAGCCAGACUCUCCGUUACGGCACGUUAUUAUUAUCAUGAAAACAGAUAGAGAAACAGAACACUUUACUCUGGAAUCAGAGGAAGCUGUUCCAAUAGGAGGAGAGGAAAAGGCCAUAGCGGAACAAAGUGGUAAUGUUCAGACAGGAACAGAGGCUGUUGGUGAUCAGGACACCGAUUGUUAUGGGUCACAUGAAGGCUCUCUGAUGGACUCGGUGGCUCUGGUGCAGAUGAAGAAAGAGAUGGAGAUGAAGAUGGAAGUACAGAUUAGUUCUGGUUUGGAAGGUCCAGUGUUGGGUCCUGUCGCUGUUCCUGAGGUGGUGGAUCAAGACUCUGAGACUGGAUCUGUUUGUCAGGACCGGUCCUCUGAAGACCCUCUAUUAGGAUCUGACCCUAACCUCUCAGCAGUGCUAAGCCCUGCCUCCUCUCUCCCCCCAGCAGAACCUCUCUCUGCCUCCUCUCUCCCCCCAGCAGAGCCUCUCUCUGCCUCCUCUCCCCCCACAGUGUACUGGGAAACAGGUGGCUCAGAGAUUUCAGAGGGAUCCUCAAGCUUGGUUGUCCAAGAGCCUGUCCCACCACUAAAUCAACCAACAAACCCAUCAACAGACCUACCUCCAGGCCCAGCUUUGACCUCACCUUCAGAGCAAGUGUCACUUCCAUCCCCAGCCUCUUCCCCACCACCAUCUCCGUCCCCAGCCUCAUGCCCACACCAACCUCCAGCCUCAGCUUUUCUGGCAGCAUCCAGCUCAUCUCCAACACAAUCCCAUUCCCCAAUCCCAAACCAUUCUCUAUCAGCCCUAACCACAACACCAAUCCCAUCCUCAAUUCCAAACUCACCAUCAGCCCAUUCCUUAACCGUAGCUCCAUCUCAAGCCCCAACCCCACUCGUCCCCCACAGUGGUGCUUUCAGGUCAGGCCGAUCUGUGUCUGUCCAGAUGCCCUCCUCCCUUCCCUCUGUCUCCCACUCUGCCCUCCGGAGAGGUGCUGUCCCCCACACCCCCUCCCCGCUCGGCCCUUCCUUCGAGCCCCUCCCCCUGACUGACCUGACGCUCCGGCAGAGGCGGAACUCCUUCUCCAGAAAGACGUGGUCAGAUGCUGAUGUCUCCCACUUUGCAGAACACAGAAACACUGCGGUUGCCAUGGGAAAGGCAGACAUGACACCUGAGACGAUAUCCCUCCCGUCCCCCUGCCCCUCCCCCUCCAUGUCAUCGUCCAAUCGGUGGCUGUCUCGCGACGGUUCACGAAGAUCCGGAAGUUUCCAGAUGAAGUCCACCUCCUUGGACACUGGGCUGUGGCAGGAGGAAGUGGGGGAAGAAGUGGGGGAUGAGGAUAGACGGUGGGAACGAGCCCUGUUCUCUGGGCUUUCCUGCUGCUGCUCCUGUGAUAACCGCUGUCGCUGCUGUUCUCAGAACAAUCGCCACAAACCGUCCUCCGUUUCAGCUUUCCCUUAUUCACUGGAUGAGCUGGAGGGGAUGAUGCACUGUAUGAGGAAGUUCCGCUGCGUCCUGACAGACAUCGAGGAACAGCUGUCAGAAGACCAGGCCUCGGUGUACAGCUCACUCUCUGACACUGACAGAGAGGAAGUGCGAGACAUCUUGGAGCUGAGGAAAGCUGUGAAACAGGAAGCUGGAGAGUUGGAACUGCAGCUCACUGACCUGGUUCAUCGCUAUGACGACAGCUUCAAAAUGAAGAUGCACAGACUACUCGAUGAACAAUCUCACCUCUACACCCAGCUAAGGCUCCUGCCCCUGAUCCCCACAACCACAUCCACCCCUGGUUCUGCCUCCUCCAGGAGCAUGGCCACUCAGUGCUGCCUGCUGCCCUGGCUGCCUUUGACGGACAUGUCCAGGCCACGCCCCUCAUCGCAGGCCACCUGGGAUUUGGAGUCCAGAUCAGCUCUGCCAGAUUCCAGUUCUAUGGGCCAGAGGCUAAAACAUGGUUCUACAGGCACCAAGCCAGACAAACUGGACAUUGUGGGUUUCAUCCAGAGAGUAAGGGACCUUUGACCCCUGGUACAUACACAACCACAUAUCAAAAUGUAGUUUCAGGUUUACUGGAUGAAAAUACAAAAAUGUUUUGACUGUGUAUUGCUUUACAUUUUUGUCUUGAUAAUGACAUGUUGUCACAUCUCUUUACUGUUUUUCAGCUGAAGGAGUCCAUACGCCACUCUGUCAAUACUGACUCACUGGAGUAAAAGAGAGGUGGGGUAGCCCUGACUGACAGAUCUAGGCCAGGAUUCAAUCCGAAGCGUUUCAUAGGGCUGCGUACAAUACAGGCGAUAAUUUGCCUUUCAAAGGCAUUUUCCUUGACGUUCGCAGAGAUCGCUUUCAUGGUAAACGCUGUGCAUGUCGGCUCAGACGUAAAUUACCUUUGAAAAGUCUUAUAAUAGUGCUCUGCUCUGUAACACGCCUUCGCGUGAAUACCAGACCUAUACCCUCUAAACUUGACUGAAAAAAACACUGCCUGUGUCCUCACCCACCCGUGGAUUGUUUUUCUGUCUUACAGAUGCAGCUUCUGCUGUAGCUUACUGAAGAUGAUCUGCUGUCUAAGUUAGUGUGUCCAAUCAACCUGGACUCGGGUAGAUGUAACAUGAUAAAUGUAAAUCUGUCUCCCUCCAUUUAGUAUGAUAUGUUAGGUGUGGUAAGGUAUGUAUUUCUUUGUGGAUGUCCAUCAUCCAUUAUGUUAUGAAUAACAAUUCAUAUGAUAUGUUACGAAUUGCAAUUUGUACAAUAUGUCACGAAAUUGCAAUUUAAGUAUGAUAUGUCACAAAUUCCAGUUUGAUGUGGCUAACCUUAACAUUAGUUAAGUAGCUUACGUUAACUAGGCAAAGGGUUAGCUAACAUGCUAAGUAGUUGCAAAAAGUAGUACGUUUCAAAAUAGCUAAUUAGCCUAAAUGCUCAAGUUGUCCGGGAUGAGAUCGGAAGACGCAACCUUAGAGAUGCUAGAAGUUUGCAUUAUAUGCCCACCUAUCCACCCCGACCCACCACCCUCCCUUCGUUUUUGCCUCAUGUAACCUUACCAAACAUACCAUAUCAUAUUAAUUUGAGUGUCCUGGAUUUACGUUGACUAUGUCUAGUCUAUGAAACCAGGCUGGUGUAAUCAAUGGAUUCCAUUACUACCAAAGUAGUCCAGUGUCCACAUGAUGAAUAAAGAGCAUGAAUGCAUGAAAUCAUGUGUGCUAUAUCUAUAACGUGCCAAUGCAUAACAUACUGUACAUAGAGUUUGUGUGUAUUGUCAUUCCCUACGUAUCAACAACAGCAUUCGUCUCAACUAAGGGUGUGUUCUCAUUCCUUACUGUGACAUGAAGUCUCCUACUGUUACCUACCUGCAUCAAUGCUCUGGGUAAGACAGAUCCCCAUCCACAUGAGAUCCAUGCAGUAUGUGUAUGCUAUAGAGAGGAGCUUCUCUUCCGUGUCACCCCCCCCCCCCCCCUCGCUCUGGGUUUUUCCUUAUUGCACAAGAGGUGGUCUAGCUCACGUCUACCUGUCUCUUCAGACCCCAAUUAGCAACUGUGUAGUACCAGCCUGUGAGCCUGAUGCAUUUCAUGACCCCCUCCACUGGUGCUCCCAACUUAAAUGCAAGAGAACCACAUGCCAUUUAGGAACACAAGAAAAUAAGUAUGUUUUAUUGCGAAACAGCCUACUGUAUAUAGAGCCCCACAGUGGAAGUGUCAUAAUACCCAUAAACCUAACGGUCAAACAAGGAGUCAGCUUGUCCUAGAGAGAUUUAGAUGGUUAUCAAAAUGCCACGCCAGGGUAAGCCUACACAAAACAGCUCUUAUUUUAAGUGUUUGUAAAAUCCCCUACAGGAACAAGGAAUGGUGGAAAAACAAUUACAACCAUUUCCUUGUUUGACUGCUAGAUUUUAUGGGUAUUAUGACUCAUACUGUGGUACUCUAUUGGGCCUAAGAAUUCUUGUUACUUUUGAAGCAAAUGUUGUGCCCUACAAAGUAAUAUGUAUAUUAGUUUAUAAUAAAAUGUUGAUAAAGUCAUUUGUGGAAUAUUAUGUUUCCACAUUCUGUAAAAGCACUAUUUUCUAUUGAGAUGGAUUCCAUAGAAAAUUGCACACUUUCUCUUUAAGAAGGUCAGGUUUGUGAUGGCAUUUGUCAUUCAACAUGGUGCUUUCAAGACAACUGGGAAAAAAACUAAGUCUAAUCAUGACGUCAGAGCUCUGGAAAGUAAGUAUGGUAGCUGCAGCCCAAUAGAACCCCAUAGUGGAGGUGUCAAAAUACCCAUAAAACAUAGUGGUCAAACAGGUAAAUGGUUUCAAUCAUUUUUCCACCGUUCAUGAUUUAAUGUUAAUAUUUCUACCAUAAGCCGCCAAUGUCGUUUUAGAGAAUUUGGCAGUAUGUCCAAAGGGCCUCACAACCACAGUCCACAUGUACCCAUGCCAGCUCAGGACUUCCACAUCCGGCUUCUUCAACUGCGGGAUCGUCUGAGACCAGCCACCUAGACAGCUGAUGAAAUUGUGGGUUUGCUCAACCAAAGAAUUUCUGCACAAACUGUCAGAAACCAUCUCAGGGAAGCUCAUCUGUGUGCUCGUCAUCCUCACCAGGGUCUUGACUUGACUGCAGUUUGGCGUCAUAACCGACUUCAGUGGGCAAAUGCUCACUUUCGGUGGCCACUGCCACGCUGGAGAAGUGUGUUCUUCACGGAUUAAUGUCGGUGUCAACUGUACCAGGCAGAUGGCAGACAGUGUGUAUGGCGAUGUGAGCGGUUUGCUGACGUCAACGCUGUGAAUAGAGUGCCCCAUGGUGGCGGUGUGGUUAUGGUAUGGGCAGGCAUAGGGUACGGACAAUGAACACAAUUGCAUUUUAUUGAUGGCAAUUUGAAUGCACAGAGAUACAGUGACGAUAUCCAGAGGCCAAUUCUUGCGGCAUUCAUCCGCCGCCAUCACAUGUUUCGGCAUGAUAAUGCACAGCCUCAUGUCGCAAGAAUGCUGUUCAUUGACUACAGCUCAGCAUUCAACACCAUAGUACCCUCUAAGCUCAUCAUCAAGCUGGAGGCCAUGGGUCUCAACCCCAUCCUGUGCAAUUGGGUCCUGGACUUUCUGACGGACCGCUCCCCGGUGGUGAAGGUAGGAAACAACCUACCCUUUGCUGACCCUCAAGGGUGCAUGCUCAGCCACCUCCUGUACUCCCUGUUCACCCACUACUGCUUGGCCAUGCACGCCUCCAACUCAAUCAUCAAGUUUGCAGAACAACAACAACGAAACAGCCUACAGGGAGAAGGUGAGGGCACUGAGUGUGGUGUCAGGAAAACAACUUCUCACUCAACGUCAGCAAAACAAAGGAGAUGAUCGUGGACUUCAGGAAACAGCAGAGGGAGCACCCCCCUAUCCACAUCGAAGGGACAGCAACAGAGACGGAAUGUUUUAAGUUCCUUGGCGUACACAUCACAGACAAACUGAAAUGGUCCACUCACACAGACAGUGUUGUGAAGAAACCUCAAGAGGCUGAAGAAAUUGGGCUUGUCACCAAAAACCAUGACAAACUUUUACAGCUACACAAUCAAAGCAUCCUGUCGGGCUGUAUCACGCCUUCAACCGCAAGGCUCUCCAGAGGGUGGUGCGGCCUGCACAACGCAUCACCGGGGGCAAACUUUCUGCCCUCCAUGACAGCUACAGCACCCGAUGUCACAGGAAGGCCAAAAAUAUCAUCAUGGACAUCAACCACCCGAGCCACUGCCUGUUCACACCGCUACCAUCCAGAAGGUGAGGUCAGUACAGGUGCAUCAAAGCUGGGACCGAGAGACAGAAGCUGUUUUUCAGUCUCAAGGCCAUCAGACUGCUUAACAUCAAUCACUGAUUCAGAGAUUCUGUUGCAUACAUUAAACCCAAUCACUGGCCACUUUAAUGAAUGCAUCAUUAGUCACUUUAUACAAUGUACUCUAAAUAAUGCCACUUUAAAAAUGUUUACAUAUCUUACAUUAUUCAUAUCACGUGUAUAUACUGUAUUUUAUACCAUCUAUUGCACUUUGCCUAUUCCACUCAGCCAUCGCUCAUCCAUAUACUUAAAUGUACAUAUUCUCAUUCACCCCUUUAGAUUUGUGUGUAUUAGGUAGUUGUUGGGGAAUUGUUAGAUUACUUGUUAGAUAUUACUGCACUGUCGGAACUAGAAGCACAAGCAUUUAGCUACAUUCACAUUAACAUCUGCUAACCAUGUGUAUGUGACAAAUAAAAUUUGAUUUGUACACACUUC